UCUCUCCUCUCUCUAUAAUUCGGUCCAUACCCCCCCCCCCUCUCCACAACUGAUUUCCAUCACCAUCAUCACCUUCACAUCUCCAUCUUCUUCCACUAAAAGCUCUCUUGCAAGUUGUGAAGAUCCUCCAUAGAAGUGUGAAGUUGGAGUGCUCUCAAGAAGCCUUGUUCAAGCUUUUCUCACCAUCAUUCUUUAUCAUCUCAUCCUAAGAUUUCAACCCUAGCCUUGUGCUAGUAUCGAGAAAAUGAUUUUCUAUAAAAUAUGGGUAGUCGUGUUUGCUGAGGAGAUUUGGGUUACGAGUACCGAAGACGCAAUACUGCUAUUAUCGUAAGACCAUUAAUCCUUGUAUAAGGACCGAGAGGCAUGAGUGAUAGAUCUAUUGGGUGUUGCGAGCCCCACACAUGGGCCAGCGUGUGGCUGCAUGUGGUGACUAUGUCGUUCCGC
rnacentral:lncRNA from 1 species